GGGUCAUUAGCUCAGCUGGUAGAGCAGCGGACUUUUAAUCCGUUGGUCGAUGGUUCAAAUCCAUCAUGACCCA
rfam:Rheinheimera sp. F8 genome.